CAAUAGCGUAUAUUUAAGUUGCUGCAGUUAAAAAGCUCGUAGUUGGAUUUCGGGUGGGAAUGGCCGGUCCGCCGUUCCGGUGUGCACUUGCUACGCCCACCUUGCUGCCGGGGACGUGCUCUUGAGUUCAUGCUCGGGACACGGAGUCGGCGAGGUUACUUUGAGUAAAUUAGAGUGUUCAAAGCAGGCCUACGCUCUGAAUACAUUAGCAUGGAAUAACACGAUAGGACUCUGGCCUAUCUUGUUGGUCUGUAGGACCGGAGUAAUGAUUAAGAGGGACAGUCGGGGGCAUUCGUAUUUCAUUGUCAGAGGUGAAAUUCUUGGAUUUAUGAAAGACGAACUACUGCGAAAGCAUUUGCCAAGGAUGUUUUCAUUAA
rnacentral:rRNA from 1 species